UGAAGAACAUUGACAACACAGGAAAACCAGUUGCCUGCUCUGUUCCAUUGCCCAGUGCCCGAACAGCAAUUGCAGGCAGACAGCAAUCUCUGAAGCACAUCUCUGAAGUCCGUUCUCCAAAGCAUGAAAGUACAAGCGUUUUUCAAUCAAACAGCUAUGUCAGUUUUCUCCAGAUGCACCAGAUAUCAAUAAGUAUGUCCAUUUCAGUGCGGCCCGUUGGUUGGAAUUUUUACAGAAAUAUGGAUAAAAUCAUAAAAUGAAAGAGUUUAAUCACAUACACCUCUAGAAUGAUUCUACAAACAGUUUAAGUAAGAUUCAAGUGCAAGAACAGAGGGCCAGUGAAGAUGCGGCUGGAGAUUAGUGUUUAAAAAAAGAAAAAAGGCAAGCCACAGCAUGCAAGUAUUAAGUGUCAUCUUAUUUUACUAUUUUGAACAGAUAUAUGUAUCGUUCUCUUAAAUGAUAAUUUUGUGCUAAAAUUUUAUCACAUAUUCUUCUUAGCAACAAGUCUAGGGUUACCAUACGUCCGUAUUUUCCCGGACAUGUCCGGCUUUUUGGUUCUUAAAUCGCCGUCCGGGAGGAAUUUUUAAAUAUCUAAAAACGUCCAGGAUUUUGCCAUUAUUAUUUCUCCCCAAAGAGAGUGAAUGUUGAUCAUUCGAGAAAGAAAGUGAAUGUUGAUCACUCGAGAGAGUGCCCGCUUUUCCUCCCAGCUCCCAGCGCUU